UGCAUUGUGAACCACGCCCCCAUUCUCCGAUGAUCUUUCAGCCAUAUUGGAUGCUGGGUUCAAACGAAAUUUACUAUUGAUUUAAUUGUAUCGACAGUGGAUAAUUUACUGUAUUCCAUGUCAUGAAUGACCACAAUUUUGAAACGUUGAUAAAUUAUAUCACAGUUUUCUCGUCUUAAAUGAAAGCAUGAGUCAUGAGUUAUCCUAGUUUAUGAUUGCGAAGGUGUUUCUCCGUCAGAUUUGUUAGCACAUUGUUAGCACAGCGAGGUGUCACGUGAUCUCACGGCUUGGCGUAAGAUUGUACGCCACUUACGCUAUUUGCGUGCCAUUUUACCAUGCAUUUUAUGCAUUUUACACAUUUAAGGCUUUUAGCGUCUUACUGUACGCUGUUUGGCCAUGGAGAACAACGCAUCCCAGCUGCCACACGUUAACAGCCGAAUCAAAACGAAAAUAUCCGAGCAGCUAAGGAUUGAAACGAAGUCCGAAAAGAAAACGACAGCAAGAUCAGUGGGUUGCUGUCAUGUGACAGCCACACACAAAAAACGGAAAUGCAUCAUAGAGUGAGAGCAAGCCAUGUGGGAUUCUUGCUCCUGAUAUCCUGAUGAUACUGUCCUGUAUGACUCCAACAGAACACUCACAGAAAGGAGAGCAGUGUCAUACUACAAGAUAACUAGCAACAAACCCUUGUUUGUCCUUGUUUGGCUACUCAUUUGUCUACUUCCUGAAGAGGAGCAUGCUAGCCUCGACACCUCAGUUCUUGCUUCCAUUAACAGCUGUGUUAUGGAGCGCAUCCUCACAUCAUGGUCUACUGCAGCAGGUGGAUACGGAAGACAAUUGGUCCAAACCAUCUUGAAGCCUUUUGGACAGAGGAGCGGAUGACCGAGCUGGUUAACCUCUACAUAAAUAGACACAUGUCAAGUGGGUUUAUCAAGGCCCAAAUAUGCUGAGGAAUACAGGCUGCCUUGGUGGCCUAAGGAGUCAUGUCAAUGAUCAGCUGUUUGUUGAGGCAGCAGCAGCAGGAGCAGCACCAACAACAGAAGCAGCAGCAGCAGCAGGAGCAGCACCACCAGCACUAUAAACGCCAUCAGCAGCAGCGGCAGAUUAUAAAGAAGGAUAACAAUGAAUACAUGAAAUCAGAGUGGGAAGUUGUGCUUUUAUGUUUCAUAUAUACUGUAUAAAUAUAUGCACCUUACUUGAGUGUCUCUACAAUUUACUUAUACUGCAAUGCAAUUAAAAUAAAGGCAUUAAUUUAAUUCAUUUGUCAUUUCAGUUUUUAUUCUUACAUUCAUUUCACCUGGGUGCCAGCCAAA